CGCAAAGCUUCGCUUUGCGGAGCAGAGCGCAGCCUUUUCGAAUUUGAAAGUGAAACAAUUUAAGGGUUUAAUUACUGCAAGGGUCGCUUUGUGGGAAAAAAACCUGAUGCUAGAAGU
rnacentral:rRNA from 1 species